UAAAACUUAAUAUUUUAAUCAGUUUAAUUAUUCAAUAACCAAUAUUUAUAUUGGUCGAGCAUUAAUAUUUUGACUAAUCUAUUUAAUUUUUAACUAAUUAUUUAUCUAAAAUAAUGUAUUAACUAAUUAAAAAGUUAGGUUAUUUUUAUAAUUAACUAAUUAAUUAAUUAAUGUAUUAAUCAAGUAAUUAAUUAACUAAUUUAUUAAUUUAUUAAUUUAUUCAUAGCUAAUAAAUUUAUUAAUUUACUAAAUUAUUUGUUAUUAAAAUUUUGAUGUUAAUUAAUUAGAUAAACUAUUUGUAAUUUAAAAUUAUAACUCUUAUUCCCUCCACCCCAUUCCAAUCUAACAAUCCAAACACCAUUUAUCAUAUUCUCCAGAAACAACCUAAUUUUCAUCCAAAUACAAAAUUAAUUUACUUUCUGUUUAUAUCUGAACUUAUAUUUAUUUCUGAAAUAAACCGUUCUUACUUAUACUGGAACCAAACACAGCCUAAAGGAAUAAGCCACAAAAUUUAAGCUUAUAU
rnacentral:lncRNA from 1 species